GCAGGUGUGGCUCACGUGGACACGUCUGGGGCGGUACCAAUUGGCCGUGGGUUCCAGUCCCACCGCCGCG
rnacentral:tRNA from 1 species